rnacentral:rRNA from 1 species
GGACGAACGCUGGCGGCGUGCCUAAUACAUGCAAGUCGAACGAACGGAGGAAGAGCUUGCUCUUCCAAAGUUAGUGGCGGACGGGUGAGUAACACGUGGGCAACCUGCCUGUAAGUUGGGGAUAACUCCGGGAAACCGGGGCUAAUACCGAAUAAUAAGUGGUGGCGCAUGCCACGGCUUUGAAAGAUGGUUUCGGCUAUCGCUUACAGAUGGGCCCGCGGUGCAUUAGCUAGUUGGUAGGGUAAUGGCCUACCAAGGCAACGAUGCAUAGCCGACCUGAGAGGGUGAUCGGCCACACUGGGACUGAGACACGGCCCAGACUCCUACGGGAGGCAGCAGUAGGGAAUCUUCCGCAAUGGACGAAAGUCUGACGGAGCAACGCCGCGUGUAUGAAGAAGGUUUUCGGAUCGUAAAGUACUGUUGUUAGAGAAGAACAAGGAUAAGAGUAACUGCUUGUCCCUUGACGGUAUCUAACC